rnacentral:rRNA from 1 species
CACUAUGCCUAGCCAUAAACCUUGAUAGCAACCUACCCCUACUAUCCGCCCGGGGACUACGAGCAUCAGCUUGAAACCCAAAGGACUUGGCGGUGCUUUAGAUCCACCUAGAGGAGCCUGUUCUAGAACCGAUUACCCCCGUUCAACCUCACCUUUUCUUGCCCCUCCCGCCUAUAUACCACCGUCGUCAGCUUACCCUGUGAAGGACUUAUAGUAAGCAAGAUUGGCAUAGCCCAAAACGUCAGGUCGAGGUGUAGCGUAUGAAAAGGGAAGAAAUGGGCUACAUUCCCUAACACAGUGAACUACGAACGAUACGCUGAAACACGUAUCUGAAGGAGGAUUUAGCAGUAAGCAGAAAAUAGAGCGUUCCGCUGAAACCGGCCCUGAAGCGCGCACACACCGCCCGUCACUCUCCCCGAGCCCACCAACAUCAAAUACUUAAAACCUCUAAACUGCAAAGGGGAGGCAAGUCGUAA